AGAGUGUUAAUCUUGAAUGGGGUUCAAGAGGCCCCGAGUUCGAAUCUCGGCACUCGGACCA
rnacentral:tRNA from 1 species